rnacentral:rRNA from 1 species
GCAAGUCGAGCGCGCCCUUCGGGGUGAGCGGCGGACGGGUGAGUAACGCGUGGGAAUAUGCCCUUCUCUAAGGAAUAGCCUCUGGAAACGGAGAGUAAUACCGUAUACGCCCUUCGGGGGAAAGAUUUAUCGGAGAUGGAUUGGCCCGCGUUAGAUUAGAUAGUUGGUGGGGUAAUGGCCUACCAAGGCAACGAUCUAUAGCUGGUCUGAGAGGAUGAUC